rnacentral:rRNA from 1 species
UACGGAGGGUCCAAGCGUUAUCCGGAAUCAUUGGGUUUAAAGGGUCCGUAGGCGGUUUUGUAAGUCAGUGGUGAAAGCCCAUCGCUCAACGGUGGAACGGCCAUUGAUACUGCAAGACUUGAAUUACUAGGAAGUAACUAGAAUAUGUAGUGUAGCGGUGAAAUGCUUAGAUAUGACAUAGAACACCAAUUGCGCAGGCAGCUUACUACACAGUAAUUGACACUGAGGCACGAAAGCGUGGGGAUCAAACAGG